GAUGAACGCUGGCGGCGUGCCUAAUACAUGCAAGUCGAGCGAACAGACGAGGAGCUUGCUCCUCUGACGUUAGCGGCGGACGGGUGAGUAACACGUGGAUAACCUACCUAUAAGACUGGGAUAACUUCGGGAAACCGGAGCUAAUACCGGAUAAUAUAUUGAACCGCAUGGUUCAAUAGUGAAAGACGGUUUUGCUGUCACUUAUAGAUGGAUCCGCGCCGCAUUAGCUAGUUGGUAAGGUAACGGCUUACCAAGGCAACGAUGCAUAGCCGACCUGAGAGGGUGAUCGGCCAGACUGGAAGUGAGACACGUUCGAGACUCCUACGGGAGGCAGCAGUAGGGAAUCUUCCGCAAGGGGCGAAAGCCUGACGGAGCAACGCCGCGUGAGUGAUGAAGGUCUUCGGAUCGUAAAACUCUGUUAUUAGGGAAGAACAAAUGUGUAAGUACCUAUGCACGUCUUGACGGUACCUAAUCAGAAAGCCACGGCUAACUACGUG
rnacentral:rRNA from 1 species